UAGUGGCUUAGUCCCUGGAAGCUCUGGUUGC
rnacentral:piRNA from 1 species